rnacentral:rRNA from 1 species
UAAAGAAUUUCGGUUAUCGAUGGGGAUGCGUUCCAUUAGUUAGUUGGCGGGGUAACGGCCCACCAAGACGACGAUGGAUAGGGGUUCUGAGAGGAAGGUCCCCCACAUUGGAACUGAGACACGGUCCAAACUCCUACGGGAGGCAGCAGUGAGGAAUAUUGGUCAAUGGACGAGAGUCUGAACCAGCCAAGUAGCGUGAAGGAUGACUGCCCUAUGGGUUGUAAACUUCUUUUAUAUGGGAAUAAAACAGGGUAUGCAUACCCUCUUGUAUGUACCAUAUGAAUAAGGAUCGGCUAACUCCGUGCCAGCAGCCGCGGUAAUACGGAGGAUCCGAGCGUUAUCCGGAUUUAUUGGGUUUAAAGGGAGCGUAGGUGGAUUGUUAAGUCAGUUGUGAAAGUUUGCGGCCCAACCGUAAAAUUGCAGUUGAAACUGGCAGUCUUGAGUACAGUAGAGGUGGGCGGAAUUCGUGGUGUAGCGGUGAAAUGCUUAGAUAUCACGAAGAACUCCGAUUGCGAAGGCAGCUCACUAGACUGCAACUGACACUGAUGCUCGAAAGUGUGGGUAUCAAACAGGAUUAGAUACCCUGGUAGUCCACACAGUAAACGAUGAAUACUCGCUGUUUGCGAUAUACAGUAA